rnacentral:rRNA from 1 species
GACAGAGGGGGCAAGCGUUGCUCGGAAUUACUGGGCGUAAAGGGCGCGUAGGCGGGAUGGCAAGUCGGUCGUGAAAUCCUUCGGCUCAACCGAAGAACGUCGAUCGAUACUGCUGUUCUUGAGGGUUGCAGAGGAGACUGGAAUUCCCGGUGUAGCGGUGAAAUGUGUAGAGAUCGGGAGGAACACCGGUGGCGAAGGCGGCGACCUGGUCCGACACUGACGCUGAGGCGCGAAAGCGUGGGGAGCAAACAGG